rnacentral:lncRNA from 1 species
AGUGGCGGGGUUCUCGCCGGUCCUGCGGGUCGCUGCUUGGCUGUGGGUUAGCAGCACCCUGAGCGGAGCGGAAGAGCUGCCCGCCGCCGCGUAACCCCGAGGCCGAGACUCCUGGCCUGGCCUCCUUGGGCCCACGACGCCUGCCCCGCGGAGCGGACCCAUGGGCCUGAGGUUUGUGUGCGGGGCCUCAGGCGAGCGCUGGCGCAGCCUGUCCCCCAUCGUCUGCGCCCUGCGGGCCUGGCCCUCCCCGUGGAAGGACCGCGGGCUUCGGGGCCCCACGCUGGGGGGCUGACUCCUGCCACACACACAGCGGUGGCCGCGGGCCUGGGGCGGCAGCACAGCCAUUCUGCUCGGGCUGCGUGAGCUGACCCCGCUCUCUGUGCACCUACUUUUGCUGCGUUUGGUGCUGAGCCUGAAGUCCCAGGACAGGCGGCUGAGGGGGAAAGAUGGUGUGAAUUGGGUGGGCAGAGACAACUGAAAGCCACAGGACCCGGUUGGCACCUUUUUGGCCGCCUGCGCCUUUGCCUGCAGCCCCGCUCCCUGGGUCACCCGAAGGAGGAGCUGGCGCUCUUUCCGGGCGCAGAAGCACCCGACCCACGCUGGAGGAAACGGUCCCUCUGGGCAGGAGAAGCUUUGGGCCUGGCUGGAGCACACUCACGGAACCACGCCAACGCCUGGCCUGUAGCCAGCUCCCACCUCCCCUCCCACCUUCUAAAAUGCUUGCGGAUCUCACGUGGCCGACCCUAACCAGAUACACAUGGGGAAAGGAAUCAGGUGGCACACAUACCGCCUUUACUCCAUAGAGAACUUCCAAUUGUGGGUAAGAACAAAGCCCCACCUCUUCCUAAUAGAUGCAGUUUUCCACCUGCAGCCAAAAAGACAACCUGUUAUUAGCUUUUUUCCCAGAGGACAGGCAUCUCUAUGAAACUGCCAUUGCAAAAUUUGCCGACAGUGAGAUAACCAGCUCCAUUUUGCUUCUAACCUCCAUGCCCUCCUUGUUUACUGCUGCACGCAGGUUGAACUGUGGGAGGAACUUAGUUUAAAACAAAGAUGAUAACAGCCCUUUCCCAAAGGAAACCUUUCCUGGGGAUUAGCCUGCUUUUGUGGGACCAACAGAUUAGCCACAAGAUUAGAAACUACGGUUGAAGAGUCACGCAGCGGGAGGCUACAGGAUUCUGACCCUCCCCAAACUGCUCCUGGCGAUAACAUCACCAUCGUAAAGCCUAAGAUCAGCACUUGGUGGGUCACCUGGCACCACCCAGGCUCAUCUGAUGUUGUGGCACCCAGGAACUGACUCAGUGCGAAAACAGCUUCGACUCCCUGUGAUUUCAUCUCUGACCUGACCAAUGGGUACUUCUGACUCACUGGCUGCCCCCCACCCACCAGCUUAUCUUUAAAAACUCCAAACCCCAGAUGCUCAGGGAGACCGAGUAAUAAUAAAACUCCAGUCUCCCACACAGCUAGCUCUGCGUGAAUUACCUUUUCUCUGUUGCAAAUGCCCUUUCUUGAUAAAUUGGCUGUCUAGGUAACAGGGAAGGUGAACCCACUGGGCAGUUACACUUUUAUCCACCCUUCCAGCUGGAUCACGCGCCCUCUUCAAUGACAUGACACGCAGCUAGAGUGUAUGAGCUUGCUGCCGGCACCUUCCGUCCUGGAUCGCAUAGCAAGGCCUCAAUGGACAGCCAGGUGCCUGGUCCGGUCCCACUUUUUUUUCUGUCCUGUUCUCGUUUCCUCUUUGCUUGGCCAAAGAGGGUUGGGCCAGGGUCCUGAGUGCAAAGGCUUGGCUUGGUGAAUUAAAGUGGCAGUAGCCGUGUGGCAGAGAAAAUUUGUAGAUGGGUGAAAUCCUGGGCCUACACAGUGACAAAGUGUAUAUAGACAGCCAGCCUAGUUGGUGGAUGUGACAACCCCAGACUCUUCUAGAUUUGUGGAUCCGUGCACCUGCCAGACCUGUCUCUGAGCCAUCUGGGGAGGCUGGGUAAGAUUUCCCCCGUCAGGGCCUGAGCCUCAUCUCCAAGCUGCUGGCUUCAGCCCAGCUGCCACCAGCGCUGUCUCUGUCUUGCGCUUUCCAGAGAGAGACUGACUCAUUUUGAGCUCCAGGCCUACCAGGCAGCCCAACCGCGGCAGUAACUGCCUCUCACACUGAGGAUGGCUCAUGCUCUGGUCCAGCCAUGGCUUGAACACCUCCCAACAAGAACAAAGCCAGACUCAUUCUCCCUAGCAUCUUCUUCCUUGCUCAAAGAUCCCACACCCCGUUAGAAGCUGGAACUGGGUCCUUGUCACCUUCCUCACCUCCCCAGUCGUAGUCUGGUUAAUCCUUACAUCUCACCACGGUCACCGUGGCUAGAUGUGACCUCCGCGAUGCUUCAGGCACGUACCAGGGCAGCCUGGGCAGGGCUGGUCACUGUGAUCUCAUGAGGUGUGAACUUGACCCCGGCCUUCUUUCCUGGGAUGCCGGCUAAGGACACAAGUUCAGUGUUUGCCCUGGCUUGUAGCCCAGCGGGGGCUCCGUCAUCCCCUGGGGAAUGCCUCGGCCUGCAAGACCGCAUACCGCAUUGGAACAGGGAAACCACCUACUUCAGCACCUCCCUCAGCAAGGUGGCAGGUCCCAACAAGCCUUGCACCACGAGGAAGUGGCAGUGGCAUUCGGGAUAUGGCUCCCUGGCCAGCUUGUGAAGUUCAAGGGGCUCGUUACUUCUUACAGCUCACAGUCCCUCCCGGGUCCAGCACACCUGAGGGCUGACCUCCCUCUUGAUUAGUGCAGGGGAAAAGCACUUUAAAAAGCUGUGUCAUGCGUAACUUGCACAUCUUCUGAUUCUGACCUGAAACUGCAUCCCAGGUCGGCACAGACGCAACCCAGUCUCCUCCCACCUCCGAGAGUGCAGUGUCCUGAAUGGAGAACCCCAGCACCCAGAAGCAUCCACUGAAGGACUAAAUUCUACACAUGAAGGCAAACGUCCGUGGUUGACAGAAAUUACACUGGCCAGAAUCCCCAGUCCCCAUGAGGCUUGUCCAGACGCAGUGAACCAGUCGCAGCUGAUAACACACAGACCAUUCCCGAUCCCAGAGAUGUUGUGACAUCAUAUGGAAUUUACGGCAUAA